rnacentral:piRNA from 2 species
UAAGAUACUAAGGUGCUUAAGAAU